AUCACCAAGAGGUCAUCAUUGAGCCCAACUGGAAAACUCUCGAGUUUUAGAAAUAGUUAGGUACUGCACACAUGAGGAUCUCCAUUCCCCACUGUUAUGGUGAAUGGAGCCAGUGCCACAGGGGAAGAGGCAUGAUUAGAGGUCUGACUAUUUCCUUAAAGACUAAAAGAGAAGAGCCCAGGUCUUGUUCUUUGUAUCCAUCACGGCAUCUAAUACAAGAGUCCUCAAAGUGCAGUGGCAAGAUAAAAGUCAAGAUGACUGGCAAUGGCCUGGGAUGCAGUGGAUGACCCUGGCAUCUUUAGUGUCUGACCAAGCUCUAGGCACUGCACAGCACCUGUUUCAGCUGCCUUCAUGGUCAUUGGAAUGAAUUUUUCUCACCUGCCUAAUUCUCCAGAGAUGUCUUCACUUGCUUGGGGUAGACAUCCCCUAACUCACCAAUGGAGCUGAGACCUGUUGGUUAUCCUCAACCUGUUAAGAUGGUUUUACUGGGGUAUGGCCACUCUGCAUGUGGCUUCUUUGAGCCAGCAAUGAGAACUGGGUAAAAGGUAGACAUCGAAGGUGGAUGGAUGGGCAGCCCUGAAAGGGGUUCACACCGAAGAGCUAGUCCUCCCAGAACACUCCCAAAAUGAGUAAGGAAUAAAAACCGAUAGUCCCCAUGCUACCUUGGUAUCACAUAUAAUGUUCAGAGACAUAGAAAAAGAGCUUUAAGCACACUGAGUGGAACCCUGUGGAAAAUUUAUGGGAAGCAGGAAUGGGAGUCACAUAGAAGGAGAUUAUGAAUGAAUUACAAUGUACAUCACUGGAAUAAGUAACUAUCGUGGCGUGCUCACAGACCCAUAGAAAAGUUGAUUAGGAAAAGAGAAUCAAAUGCAUACAGCAGAAUAGCGUUCCAUAAAACAAAGAAUGCACCUUGCAGGGGGAAGGAAUACAUUAUUUAAGUAAAAUACCUGGAAAACUGUAGAGUAAUAAUAAAACUUAGUAUUUAUAGAAAGCCUACUAUGUGCCAGGCACUGUGUGCUUUAACAAAAACUGGCUUGUUUGAUGCUCACGACAGCCCUGGGAGAUAGGUACUAUAACUAUCCCCAUUUUACAGAUGAGAAAGCAGGCAAAGGUUGUGACCCCAAGGUCACAUAGCUAGGAAGGACCCAAGGCCAUACUUGAACUCAGGUUUACCUGACUCCAUGCCAAAUACUCUACCUACUGACUCACCUAGCAGUUGAAAACAGCACAGUAGUUUGGUGGCAUUGGGCCUGAUACUAUAAAUUCCAAAAAGAUUUUUAAAAUCUAAAUACAAUCAUAUCAUAAAUAAUUUAGAAAAGAACAGAAAGUUCUAUCUUCAAACCUAGAUAAAAGAAAAUGUCUUAAUUACCAAUAAUAUAAAGGAAAUAAAACCCAGAUAUCCACAAUCCAUAAAGAAUGGCCAUGAAUUUACAAAGGCUAAGAGCCAGUUUUAGAUAAAUAUGUUCCAAAGAUAUGAACAAACACUUCUCAAAAACAAGAAAGACAAAAUAUAACUACUUGAAAGGUCACUAAAGUUAAUAAUAAUUAGAAAAAUGCAAUUUAAAAUGAGUCUGAGCUACAGACCAAAAUUAGAAGAAGAAAAAAACAAACCUGGUAAAAGUUGAAGAUAAGUCAAUGAUGGUAAUAUAUGUAAAAUAUAGGGAAACUGGCCAUAAUUCUUUGACAAGCAUAGUCCUACCAGUAACAUGA